CACCAAGAAAUUGAGUCAUAUAUUUAUGGUAAAAAGACAGUUAGACGUAUUUUAGAUUUUUGAGGCUGAUUUUUGAUGCUUUACAUAGAGGUAAAAUUUGAGUGUAAUUGUAUAAUUUAUUGGUAGCUUGUAAGUUGAAUCUGUGAAGUCCUUAAGGGAAACUAGGAUUAGGUACCCUAUUAUUUUUGGAUAUAAAUUAAUAAAAUUUACCAGAGUACUAUGAAUAUUAAAAAAUUUAAAACUCAAAGGACUUGGCGGUGUUUUAGACCACUUAGGGGAACCUGUCUCGUAAUCGAUAAUCCACGGUGUACCUGACCUUUUUUUGUUUUCAGCUUGUAUACCGUUGUCGUCGGGUAACUUUUUAGAAAUUAAAAGUUAGCAACAGGAAUAGAAAUAUAAUUUGGUACGUCAAAUCAAGGUGCAGCUAAUAAAAAGGGGAGGAUGGGUUACAGUUAUAUGAAUUAUAACGGAUAGAUGCAUGAAACUGCAUAAACUAUAAGAUGGACUUAAAAGUAAAUUGGAAUAUGUAAACAAUUUGAAUGAGGCUCUGAAACGUGU
rnacentral:rRNA from 1 species